UACGUAGGGUGCAAGCGUUGUCCGGAAUUAUUGGGCGUAAAGAGCUCGUAGGCGGUUUGUUGCGUCGGCUGUGAAAUCCCGAGGCUCAACCUCGGGUCUGCAGUCGAUACGAGCAAACUAGAGUGUUGCAGGGGAGACUGGAAUUCCUGGUGUAACGGUGAAAUGCGCAGAUAUCAGGAGGAACACCGGUGGCGAAGGCGGCAUUCUGGACCAUUACUGACGCUGAGGAGCGAAAGCCAGGGGAGCAAACGGG
rnacentral:rRNA from 1 species